rnacentral:rRNA from 1 species
AUGAAAAAAGAGAGCCGGGAAAGGCAUGGUGGAAAUGUAGACCGUGGCUUGGGUGGUUUCUUCUUUCCAACUAAAACUGCACCCGUGCCGCGAGGAAGCCCUCUGCCCUGCCUCUCAAAAAGAGGGGGGGUGAAACCUAUGAUGGACACCAAUUGUGGCAAUCAUUUGCUCGGAAGCCUCUGCCUCUGCCUCCACCGGGUUCCGAUCUCCUCUCCUCGCUCUGAAACCCGAACCCCAACAGAGAUCGCCCCUGCCUCUCCCCCUCCUCCCCCUCCACCACCACCCUUUUGUCAACUUGUUAAACUGGCACACGACUUCGGCUUUUUGGAGAGGGGAGGCCACACAGAGACGGCAUACUGGAGAGGCGGGGCCGCCGCUUUUUGGGCUCCUCCCCAUUGGAGCGCACAAAGCCGGGCGGCACCAUUUAACACUACCACCUCCACCACCACCACGCGCACCGUCACGCACACGAAGCGCCGGGGAGUCGACACGCAGGAACCACACUGGACUUCGCCUUCCCCGGCCUGCUGCUCCCCCCGCUGCAUCCAGAUCGGACCCGUACCUAGAUUGUUAUCAGGAGUCUACACUUGGAAGAAUUAG